rnacentral:rRNA from 1 species
UACGUAGGGGGCGAGCGUUGUUCGGAUUUACUGGGCGUAAAGGGCGCGCAGGCGGCUACAUUUGUCAGGCGUGAAAGCCCCGGGCUUAACCUGGGAACUGCGUUUGAUACGGUGUGGCUAGAGUUCGGGAGAGGAGAGUGGAAUUCCCAGUGUAGAGGUGAAAUUCGUAGAUAUUCGCAAGAACACCAGUGGCGAAGGCGGCUCACUGGUCCGGUACUGACGCUGAGGUGCGAAAGCGUGGGGAGCAAACAGG